ensembl:snRNA U6 U6 spliceosomal RNA
AUGCUCUCUUUGGCAGCACAUGUACUAAAGUUGGAAUGACACAGAAGAUUAGCAUGGCCUCUGCACAAGGAUGACACGCAAAUUUGUGAAGUGUUCCAUAUUUUU